CCUACGGGUGGCAGCAGUGGGGAAUAUUGGGCAAUGGGCGCAAGCCUGACCCAGCAACGCCGCGUGAAGGAAGAAGGCUUUCGGGUUGUAAACUUCUUUUCUCAGGGACGAAGGACGUGACGGUUCCUGAGGACUAAGCCGCUGCUACCUACGUGCCCGCCGCCGCGGUAAUACGUAGGUGGCAAGCGUUAUCCGGAUGUAUUGGGUGUAAUGGGCGUGUAGGCGGGAGGGCAAGUCAGAGGUGAAAACUCGGGGCGCAACCCUGAGACUGCAUUUGAAACUGUGUUUCUGGAGUGCGGGAGAGGCAAUCGGAAUUCCGGGUGUAGCGGUGAAAUGCGUAGAUAUUAGGAGGAACACCAGUGGCGAAGGCGGCUUACUGGACUGUAACUGACGUUGAGGAUCGAAAGCGUGGGGAGCAAACAGGAUUAGAUACCCUUGUAGUC
rnacentral:rRNA from 1 species